GGCGCUGUGUGAGCGAGGCGGGCGGAGGAUGAGGCCGUGCCCGGGCUCUGGCUGCAGCCGCCCGGGGACACGCCGUGCACCCUCGGGCUCCGGGCUCCGGCGGCGGCGGCUGAGGCAGCGUUAGCUGAGAGCGAGCGAGCGAGUGAGCGAGAGAGCGAGCGGCAUCUCGCAGCGCUUCUUCCUCAGGCGGGGCGACGCGAAAAAGAAGAAGAAGAAGAAGAAGACGAAGAAGAGGCGGCGGCGCCACCACACCGGUGUAUCUCGGGUUGGAGACUGCUCUUUGCUUUCCUCGUUGACUGACUCACCCCCUCCCCCUUUAUAAUUUUAUCUUAAAUUUUUUUGGAAGAAGGGUGACCUCUGGAACUGGGGGUGGGGGGAGAUCUACAAUUUGUGUGUGUGCGUGCGUGCAUGUGUAUGUGAGGAGGGGGUCGGUGGCACGCGCCAGGCUUUGCAAUUCUUCUCUUCUUUCAUCUUUUUCUCCUCCUCCCCCCCUUGAAGACC
rnacentral:lncRNA from 1 species